UCUCGGUGAGGAACUCCAGUGUAGAUUUUGACCUUGUGUUUUAGGUUUAUUGUCCUGAUGAAAGGUGAACUCCUCUCCCAGUGUAGAUCUUGACCUUGUGUUUUAGGUUUAUUGUCCUGAUGAAAGGUGAACUCCUCUCCCAGUGUAGAUCUUGACCUUGUGUUUUAGGUUUAUUGUCCUGAUGAAAGGUGAACUCCUCUCCCAGUGUAGAUCUUGACCUUGUGUUUUAGGUUUAUUGUCCUGAUGAAAGGUGAACUCCUCUCCCAGUGUAGAUCUUGACCUUGUGUUUUAGGUUUAUUGUCCUGAUGAAAGGUGAACUCCUCUCCCAGUGUAGAUCUUGACCUUGUGUUUUAGGUUUAUUGUCCUGAUGAAAGGUGAACUCCUCUCCCAGUGUAGAUCUUGACCUUGUGUUUUAGGUUUAUUGUCCUGAUGAAAGGUGAACUCCUCUCCCAGUGUAGAUCUUGACCUUGUGUUUUAGGUUUAUUGUCCUGAUGAAAGGUGAACUCCUCUCCCAGUGUAGAUCUUGACCUUGUGUUUUAGGUUUAUUGUCCUGAUGAAAGGUGAACUCCUCUCCCAGUGUAGAUCUUGACCUUGUGUUUUAGGUUUAUUGUCCUGAUGAAAGGUGAACUCCUCUCCCAGUGUAGAUCUUGACCUUGUGUUUUAGGUUUAUUGUCCUGAUGAAAGGUGAACUCCUCUCCCAGUGUAGAUCUUGACCUUGUGUUUUAGGUUUAUUG